UUUUGAUGAAAUAAUACAUAUUGUGUUGCUUAACCAAAUGACCCCAGGAGCAGGCACACAGCUGUUUGCUGUCGCUCUCUCUCUCCCUCUCUCUGCCAACCUCACACCAGACUUAGGGUCAUGAUAAACUAUAGGAUCCUUGUGCACACCACUUAAAUCCAAGGGAAGUAGAGGUGUCUUUGACACCAAGGGGUGCCAUGAUGUCAUCUCUCUACUGUCCUCCUUCAUAAGGAUGAAUUGGGCAGAAAAUGCAGUGUUUCCAUCCUCCGAAGGCCCGGACAGGAAACAGAAGCAGAGCAGUGGUUCUCUUCCACUCUCACUUCACCCAACAUCAAGGCUGGACUGUGCCCUACAGUAGAAGGGAUUUCAAAUCACCAUGCAAAUCUGCACAACUCUACAUGGGAGAAUGAUGGAUCAUUGAAAGAUGGAUGUAGUAUCUCUGCAUUAGCUAUAAAUUAUAACUGCAGCUACCUCUUCUCUCUAGAGGCUAUUGGGUAUGUGGAAAUAGGAUGCAUCGAAGAUUGGCCACAUGGAAAAAGGAAAAAUGGAGUGAUAGGGCAGAACACAUUAGGUGCCAGCAACGCAAUGAAACUCAAUAGGCAUUAAAAGCAAAUGCAAAACUCGGUCCACUGAUUAAGCUAUAAGCCUUGUUUCAAUGUGCUUUUUAUUAAAAUGGAAACUUUCCUUUACAUCAAUGGAACCAUAGAUUAAUCCCUGUCUUUAUUCUUGUGGAUUAAGGAGCUACCUACUCAGGAUUUUAAAACAAGAUCACAAAAAACAGUUUCCUUUGAAAAAUUUUUGUUGGA
rnacentral:lncRNA from 1 species